rnacentral:lncRNA from 1 species
GAGAAGCUCACACUUACAAACUCCAGCUUACAUCAACUUCAGAUUUAUCAUUAAACCAAAACGAAAUAACAGGCUGCACGGACGACCGAAAACCGCAAUGGAAAUCGCUAAGGUGUGGCGGGUCAUUUCGCAGCGGUUUUCCGUUUCUUCUGUCAUAACUUUUGGACUGUUUCUCGUGUUGACCAUCACGAUUCUUCAUUUCGAUGCAAGGACCAGAGAGAUAGAAGAGAAAUCAACCGCAG